rnacentral:rRNA from 1 species
UACAGAGGGGGCAAGCGUUGUUCGGAAUUACUGGGCGUAAAGGGCGCGUAGGCGGCCUUCUAAGUCGAACGUGAAAUCCCCGGGCUCAACCCGGGAACUGCGUCCGAUACUGGAAGGCUUGAAUCCGGGAGAGGUGAGUGGAACCGCGAGUGUAGAGGUGAAAUUCGUAGAUAUUCGCAAGAACACCAGUGGCGAAGGCGGACUCACUGGCCCGGUACUGACGCUGAGACGCGAAAGCGUGGGGAGCAACAGG